rnacentral:lncRNA from 1 species
AGACAUGCGUAGUGCUCCCCUUGGUCCAGCGCGGGAAGCUCCCUCGUGAGUGUCCGAAACUAUUAGCUCACUCACUGCCUCAUGUGAAGAUUAACUCUUAAGUACUCCACAACUACACGCUUUUGAAACUGGCGUUGGCAUAGCGUUAGUUCUGUGCAGGGCGGACGCAGCAGGACAGAAUCUCCCUGGGCAUCUUUUCGGAGCAUCAAUUUUACUGCAAAAUUUUGAAAAAACAAAUUUAAUUGAUUUCCAAGGUUUGUCAAGGAGGACAGAAACUCAGAGCACCCUGCACUUGGGGAUCGGCACUAGGAGCUGCUCUCUGGAUGGGGAGAUGGGAGCUAGCAGCUCACAAUGGGGUCACAAGAAUAUUGGUUCUUCUUUUAUCUGAAGUGAGGAGCACCAGAGGACUGAUCACGGCAUAGACAUUGACUACAAGACUCUGAACUUGCUGGUUGAUUGGGCCAUAUGCCCACAACAUUGCUGAGGAGAAGGAGAUGAUGAAAUCCACCCAACAGAGGACCACAGAGAAACUUACCAGCAGCAGUAUGGUCUGGAUGGCCCGUUUCUCAGGGGAAGCUCCUGGGGAAGGACCAUUGCUGUGAAGGUGGUGGGAUCACCUCUGAGGCCUGAAUAAGAGAGUCACCAUGUAUGCAAUUAAGAACAGCAGUAUUCCUACCAGGAAAGCAUCCCUAAGUGUUGUCAGAAUAAGAAACGUGGCCCUGAGGAUGAAGCUCAUGGAGAAAACUGAGCAGUACUUACCUAUAUUCAGUACAUUUGUCUGGCUCACACUGGAAGCAGCUACAGUGUAGAAGAUCCUGUUACUACUGAAAGACAAGUUGAGGAACCAUAAGAAGAAGAAAACAUGGAUAAUGUAAUUUGAAGAUUUAUGUUUAAACCUUGCCAAUCAGGAGGUGCUGGGGCUGAUGGUGGUGGCCUGGAACACACUCAGGGGGCAGGUGGUGCAGAUAGAGAGGCCCCACAACACCCUGCUCAGGUGGAAAAGUGCCUUACACUUGAAGUCAUUCUGAAGUUCAAUGAUGCAAACAGAUUUGGAGACUGCAAUAACAGUGCAAUGAAGAAGUUCACUAUGUGGACGAGGGGCAAGGGACAGAUGAUCAAGUCAGUGGGUUUUAGUCUGUGAUACAGAAGGAGAGUGAAGAUGCUGAAGAGGAACAGAAAAGUAUUGACUGAGAUUCCAACAGCAACUUGUAAAACAAAGCAGCUUUUUAAUAACAUACAUGAUAUAUAUGUACAUUGUAGUGGCAAAGAGGAAACAUAUUUGUAUAUCUGAAAAAACAAGUUUAGACAUCUUCAGUGCUGUUCUAUAGUUAAAAUUAUCACAACUAUGAUUAUGUUUAUUUCUCCCAAUUAUUAAGACUUACAAUGUAAUAUAAAUUAUUAGAAAA